UACGGAGGGGGCUAGCGUUGUUCGGAAUCACUGGGCGUAAAGGGCGUGUAGGCGGGACGGUAAGUCGGGCGUGAAAUCCCUAGGCUCAACCUAGGAACUGCACUCGAAACUACCAUUCUUGAGUGUCGGAGAGGAAAGCGGAAUUCCUGGUGUAGAGGUGAAAAUUCGUAGAUAUCAGGAGGAACACCAGUGGCGAAGGCGGCUUUCUGGACGAUAACUGACGCUGAGACGCGAAAGCGUGGGGAGCAAACAGG
rnacentral:rRNA from 1 species